rnacentral:rRNA from 6 species
AACCAAUGGCCCCCUGAACGCGCAUUGCACUCUUGGGACUU